rnacentral:rRNA from 1 species
GGGUCGGUAGGUUGGUCGUGCCACCGGUACGUACUGGUCUCACUGAUUCCUCCUUCCUGAAGAACGGUAAUGCCAUUAAUUUGGUGUUGCGGGGAAACAGGACUGUUACUUUGAAAAAAUUAGAGUGUUUAAAGCAAGCUAACGCUUGAAUACAUUAGCAUGGAAUAAUGAAAUAGGACGAUCGAUCCUAUUUUGUUGGUUUCUAGGAUUGACGUA